rnacentral:lncRNA from 1 species
UCAUCUUCUUCUCCUCCUCCCAUCUCAUGUUGGUUUCUCUUCCAUGGAAGCAUGGUAUGAAAACUUCCUAACUUUCUCUCUCUAGCUUCAAUUUUCAUGCUUUUGGUGCACCCUUUCAUAAAUCCUUAUGCUCUUCCACUCUCUCUCUUUAAAACCCUUGAAAAAUCUUGUUUCCAUACUUUCUCUCACUAGCUAGGUGUUUAGAGAGAGAAAGAAAGAAAAAAGCCUCAUAAUAGCUUGGGAAUUGUUGGAAAGAAAUUCAAAGUUACUAAACUAUCAAGGUGAGUAGUAAAUUAGCAUUGGGUUUUAAGUGCGGAUAAUGUUUAGUGAUUGAAUUGUGGGUUUAUUGUUGAGAUUGUGUAUUGACUCUAUUGUGACUAGGAUAAUGGGAAUAGAUAGCCAUUUAAAAUGGAUAUUUGAAAGCUAGCUAAGGGGUAGCUUUUAGGGUUUAUAAGUAUGAAUUGACAUUAUGGUGAUGUUAAUUUGAUGGUAGGUUCCAACGAAGCCCCAUUAUCCCAAUUGGAUCAUUAGUGAGGUUAGAGUUGGCUAAAGGCUCAAUUACUAUUGGUGAGUAAACUGCGUCUCAAAAUCAUUUUGGGAUCGUGACUGUUUUGUACAAAGAACUUAAAUGAUUUUAUAUAACUUUUUCUUAAAACAAGUGCUUUAGGAACAAGCUUUUGCUAAAUAGUUUUAAGUUGUCAAAUGUGGUUGUUAUGGAUUCAUGCACUAUUUCAUUAUGAUAUAUAUAUAUAUAUGUAUGUAUAUUGUGCAUGAUAAUUAACAUUGUGUAUGAUGACUAUAACCGUGUGUGUGCACAAUGUGGGGGGAUGCACAUGCCAGUGAUGAUGGCGGUGUGGGAGAUGGAUAAUGAUAGUGCCCGUGUGCACGAUGUGGUGGGAUGUACACGAUGGCACUGAUUGUGCACAAUGUGGGGGAAUGCACAUGAUGGCACCGGCUAUGUGCACGAUGUGGGGGGAUGUACAUGAGCCGGGUGUGAUUAUACUGAUAUUGGUGUUUAUCUAUGCAUUUAUAUAUAUACAUCUAUGUUUAUGAAAUCAAAGUUCAUGAGUAUGGUAUAUGGUUUUUCAUAUGUGAAUCUUGCAUGUUGAACAUUGAAAGUUACUAAGUAUUGUCAAAUUGGUGUUCAUUGCAAUAAGGAAUUUGGCUACAGCGAAAUGGAUUUUUCCUGCCGCCAGAAAUUUUCGGUGGUGGUACAGUAUAGUGAUUUUGAAAGUGAUUUUGACCACCUUUUGAUUAGAACUCGGAAAAGUGGUAAACAGUAAAGUCAUAGCCCUACCUCUUAGCUUUCUAAUGACCUAACAAUCAUGUCAAUUGAACCCAUGUAGUGGAAGAUAUGCUUGAAAAACCAAACCAUAUACAAAUCGAGAGUGCCUUUUUCUGUAGUGAGAAAUGUGUUGUCACGUUGCUACCUUGCUCGGGUUCUGAUAUAAUUUCCUCCACUCCCUUAUCUUCAUGAUUGAGCAUGGGUCUUUGCAAUACUAAGAGUCCACUGAUCAAUGUCCAAAACAAGGGGGUUUGGGAAAGAAAUUAUACCAAAUUGCAUUGUUUUCAAAACAAGUGCAUCACGAUUUCUAAAUUCUUCCUUAUCAAUUGCUUGUUCCCUUCCUUGUUCACUCACUGGGUUUAUACUCACCGUUUUCAACUUCAUGUUUUCAGAUUACGAGGCAGUUGGUAACUAGGUCGAGGUGCCUUUGUAGACU